GACGAACGCUGGCGGCGCGCCUAACACAUGCAAGUCGAACGAGCGAGAGAGAGCUUGCUUUCUCAAGCGAGUGGCGAACGGGUGAGUAACGCGUGAGGAACCUGCCUCAAAGAGGGGGACAACAGUUGGAAACGACUGCUAAUACCGCAUAAGCCCACAGCUCGGCAUCGAGCAGAGGGAAAGGAGUGAUCCGCUUUGAGAUGGCCUCGCGUCCGAUUAGCUAGUUGGUAAGGUAACGGCUUACCAAGGCAACGAUCAGUAGCCGACCUGAGAGGGUGACCGGCCACAUUGGGACUGAGACACGGCCCAA
rnacentral:rRNA from 1 species